CUAGUGGUGGUGCGACUAAGUUCCCCCGAGUAUAUAAGUCCGACGCCUGCCUGUUCCCGGUAGAGUCUACACCGGCAACUGUAACCCAAAACACGAGCAUAACAUCUUCAAACAGGCAACGCCCGUUACAUUUGUCUUACUACUUGUAAAAUAUUGUAAAAUAUGGAUUAAGCUACUGAUUUCAUUCGUUUGCCACAACGCGAUGAAUACAAUGGUAUCAGUGAAACUUUCCAAUCUUCCGUAUACCAUAGGUCUGGUUGACGGCACAUAAUAAGAAUAGUGCAACCACUGAAACCUUUUGCAGCCAAUACAUGUCGCAAUAAGUUUUGCGCUGUCAACCUUCAAGCAACCUGCACCAAAAGCCUCAAGUUCACUUCCGUAAGCAGUGGCUGGUCAGGGUCAAUGAAUGAUGCACGUGUCUUUGAAAACAGCGAGAGGACAAACCCUACAUGAAAAACUGGCGGGCACUGAUUACCACAUAAUUGAUGAUCUUGCCUAUUCCCUGUCUGAACGUUUAUUAAAAUCAUAUCGAAGAGUAGGUGCAAUUGAGGUAUGUAUGAUAAACAAAAAAAAAUAAUGUUAUUGAUGGCACCAACUUUGGCAUACGUAAUGAAAACACUGUUUCAUUUUCCGAUAAGAACAAAAACUAUUCAACCGUAUCCUGAACUGUGAAAGAUCUUCCAUUGAGCGAGCAUUUGCUCGCUGAAAAUGAAAAUUUUGACGGUUAAAAUAUCUUUACAUGAGGCACUUAGAUUGGAUUGAUUGGAUUUAGCUUAGAUUGGCCAUUCCUUUAGAUCUUCUAGAUAUGUUCAACAGGAAUUUAAAAAAAAUUAAAGUCAAAUAAGAUAUUAACUUACCAACAGUAUCGGGUUUAGUGGCCUAAAGGUGAAGAAAACCAGUUUCUUGGACCUAUGCAUGAACCUGGAGCAAAGGGGAUAUGUAAGAUGGACUUUAUCAGCCAGUACCUUUAAGAAUAACUGUGAAAUAUAAACAGCCUUGAAAGCACUUCUUAAUUAACAGUAGCUUGUAUGAGAAACUUAUUCUUGACAACUAAUUGGCAUACUCCAAAUACUGAAUGUAAAAAAAAAUAUGAGCAGUAUUGAAGUAAGCUCUGCUUGUUAUUAAAUAACAAAAUAAGCUACCAUGAUCCACCAACUGUUGACUUCAACAUUAUCUUACGGUACUAUUCAGUUUGUAUAAAUACUGCUUUCGAACUUCAAUUAUUUCGUGGGUGGAUAUUAAGAAUUGGUUACUUCACGUAGUCCAGCAAGAGCACUAGUAUUAUGGGAAAAUACAUUUUUAAAAAUCCA